rnacentral:rRNA from 1 species
UACGUAGGGUGCGAGCGUUGUCCGGAAUUACUGGGCGUAAAGCGCACGCAGGUGGCUGAGUCAGUCGAUUGUGAAAGCCCUGGGCUUAACCUGGGAAUUGCAGUCGAUACUACUUAGCUAGAGUAUGGGAGAGGGCAGUGGAAUUCCCGGUGUAGCGGUGAAAUGCGUAGAUAUCAGGAGGAAUACCGACGGCGAAGGCAGCUUACUGGGCAUUAUCUGACGCUGAGGCGCGAAAGCGUGGGUAGCAAACAGG